rnacentral:rRNA from 1 species
GAUGAACGCUGGCGGCGUGCCUAAUACAUGCAAGUCGAGCGAACAGAUAAGGAGAUUGCUCCUGUGACGUUAGCGGCGGACGGGUGAGUUACACGUGGAUAACCUACCUAUAAGACUGGGAUAACUUCGGGAAACCGGAGCUAAGACCGGAUAACAUAUUGAACCGCAUGGUUCAAUAGUGAAAGGCGGCUUUGCUGUCACUGAUAGAUGGAUCCGCGCCGUAUUAGCUAGUUGGUAAGGUAACGGCUUACCAAGGCAACGAUACGUAGCCGACCUGAGAGGGUGAGCUGCCACACUGGAACUGAGACACGGUCCACACUCCUACGGGAGGCAGCAGUAGGGAAUCUUCCGCAAUGGGAGCAAGCCUGACGGAGCAACGCCGCGUGAGUGAUGAAGCUCUUCGGAUCGUAAAACUCUGUUAUCAGGGAAGAACAAAUGUGUAAGUAACUGUGCACAUCUUGACGGUACCUGAUCAGAGAGCCACGGCUGACUACGUG